rnacentral:misc_RNA from 1 species
AAACCGAAUACUCAACAUUAAUUACAAUUACAAAACUCAUUACAAAAAUAAGCAUAGAAAUCAAAAUAAUAUUAUCAAUCACAGAACACAUUGCAGAAAUUAAAAUAAUAACCCAUUACAAUCACAGAACCCAUUACAGGCGCAAAUCCGUUGUUUGAUGUGUUGAUGCUGUGUAUAAAGAGAGAAAGGAAUGGUUCGUCUACAUCUAGAAGAAGGCAUGGUUUCUCUACAUCUAGAAAAAGGAAUGUUGUGUCUAGAAGAAGAAGAAAAAGAAGAAAGGGAUAGUUCGUCUAGCAGAAGAAGGAGGAGGAGGAAGGGAUGGCUCGUCUAGAAGAAGAAGAAGAAGAACGAGGGAGGUGUGGAGCUUCGCUUCAAUUCGUUUUUUUGAGAGAAGGAAUGGAUGAUAUAAAAUCUGAAAGAGAGAG